rnacentral:tRNA from 1 species
UAGAUAGAGGCCUGCUGGUUUGGGCGCUUAGCUGUUAACUAAGAGAUUGUAGGGUCAAGGCCUGCCUAUCUAG